GACGAACGCUGGCGGCGUGCUUAACACAUGCAAGUCGAACGGAAAGGCCCUGCUUUUGUGGGGUGCUCGAGUGGCGAACGGGUGAGUAACACGUGAGUAAACUGCCCUUGACUUUGGGAUAACUUCAGGAAACUGGGGCUAAUACAGGAUAGGAGCUCCUGCUGCAUGGUGGUGGUUGGAAAGUUUCGGCGGUUGGGGCUCGACUCGCGGCUUAUCAGCUUGUUGGUGAGGUAGUGGCUUACCAAGGCUUUGACGGGUAGCCGGCCUGAGAGGGUGACCGGCGACAUUGGGACUGAGAGACGGCGCAGACGCCUACGGGAGGCAGCAGGGGGGAACAUGGCACAAUGGGCGGAAGCCUGAGGCAGCAACGCCGCGUGCGGGAUGACGGCCUUCGGGUUGUAAACCGCUUUCGCCGGUGACGAAGCGUGAGUGACGGUAAUGGGUAAAGAAGCACCGGCUAACUACGUG
rnacentral:rRNA from 1 species